rnacentral:rRNA from 1 species
UACGGAGGAUGCGAGCGUUAUCCGGAUUUAUUGGGUUUAAAGGGUGCGCAGGCGGAGGUGCAAGUCAGCGGUCAAAUUGCGGGGCUCAACCCCGUACUGCCGUUGAAACUGUGUGACUGGAGUGCAGGAGAGGUAAGCGGAAUUCCUGGUGUAGCGGUGAAAUGCGUAGAUAUCAGGAGGAACACCAGUGGCGAAGGCGGCUUACUGGACUGUAACUGACGUUGAGGCUCGAAAGCGUGGGGAGCAAACAGG